UGUAUUAUACUGUAUAUGUAACUGAAGUCUACCUAUAUUCUUCUCCCCUUCAGUGAUGCAACAUCUACGAGCUCUCCCUCACUGGCACUGACAUUUUCAUGCAGUCUUCUUCCAGGUUCAGCAACUUUAGCACCAAGCCAUGCCCAGAACAUACACUGUUUGCAAGAAGGCAGGGUUUUCAUCAAUAAAAUACUCACACACCCAGCAAAUCCAGUGUUGUUGCUGCAGUUUGUCAUUCUGCUGAGUCACCAUCUUCCCUUCCUACAUCAUUGGGAUUAUUGGGCUGUCUCUGAUGAUGGCUUUGUGAUUAGCCGAAAGGUCGAGGUAAUGCCACGUCAUCACGUUACUUCUGCCUAAUCCAACAUACCCGGGAAUCGUGCACCAGGACGCCAACACAGGGGCUUAUCCGUUCAGGGCCGAUUACUCUUUACUUACUCGCCUGCUAUAUUUGCCGGGUGCCAGGACUAUCAGGCACUCAGCAAUGACAAACAAUGUAAAAUUAAUGAAAUGAAGGUGUUCCCUGAAACCAGCAUAUUCCUUUCAAUCACCUCCUGGAAUAUUGACGGAAAGGACAGCCUCAGCCCACUCCCUUCUGCCUCUCAGACCUUGCUACUAAAUCUUUAAUAAAGCCAAUAGUA